UAUAAAACAAACUCUACACAGCCUUCUUCCUCAUUCACGAACCCGAGAGCAAACCAGAGAGGAAUUGGGCGAUUUGGGGCUGCGUUUUUAGGGUUCUAAGGUUGUGAUUUUGUGGUGAGAUUUUAGAGAGUAUUUUGCAUCAAAAUUUCAAUAUCAAUCACACAUUUGAGCGAAUUUGAUUACUAAGUGAAGUAACUUUGCUAGCUUUUGGAUUAAAGAUUGCAACAGGUACAUAUAUAUUCUCUUACUUCUACUUUUAAUAUUAUUAAACAAAUGUUAGAGGAGUUUGAAUAUCUUAAAUAUUCAUCCAUAGUGAAGUAGGUUCUGAGAUUAAAAUUGUGUGCUGCGGUGAUAACGGAAGGUUGAGAACUUGUGUGUAUUAGUGAAGUAGG